rnacentral:piRNA from 1 species
UAGGUUGUUCGUAGCAGUGCU